GUCUGAAUAGCUCAGUCGGUAGAGCGCAGCGCUCUGGUCCGAAAAGGUUGUGGGUUCGAUUCCCACCUCUGCCG
rnacentral:tRNA from 1 species